GUCCCUGUAGCUCAUCUGGACAGAGCAGCUGCCUUCUAAGCAGCGGGUAGCAGGUUCGAGUCCUGUCAGGGGCACCA
rnacentral:tRNA from 1 species